CGUUCCUUAAUUACGCCAAAAGCAGCUGACUUGUAAUCAGCAGAUCGUGGGUUCAAUUCCCACCG
rnacentral:tRNA from 1 species